GGUAGAUGGGAGAGAUACUUGGGUGGAAGAACUGGCUGGGCUUGGAGGCAGAUGGAGAGUGGGUGUGGAGAAGAGGGAGGAGCCUAGGAUGCAGCCCAGGUUCCUAGCUCUGGUGACAGAGAUUUUGUUAAUAGAGAUCAGGAAUAAAUGAGAAGGAGCAGCUGUUUAGUGGAGCAGGGAGAUGAGUUAGGUUUUGGAUUUCCAGGGGAGAUGAGCAGUGGGCGGUUCCACAUAGGGGUCUAGAGAACAGGGGAGAAUUCCAGGCUGGGGACAAAUAUCUAGAAAUCAUUUGUGGAGGCAAAGGGUGGAGAUGGGUGAGAUGCCCAGGAUGGGCAGGUAGUGCGUAAGACAGAGCAGAUGGCCAAUUACACUUGGGAGGAAACCCUAGAAUCAAGGGAUCUUGCUUAAAGACUGGAUUCCGCUGCUACUUAGCUGUGUGAACUCAGGCAAGUGUGAACUCUCUUACUCUCACUUAUCCUACUGCAAAAUGGGGAGCAGUGAGAAUCCUGAAAAUUGUGAGAGUCUGUGGACAUGAGUGACCUGAGGACCUGGACUGACCUCAGCUGCUGUGGUCACGCCUCCGCCCCCAAGCAGGGGUCAGGCACCUCCCACUGCAGCAGGCUGGGUCAAGGUCUUGGUUUCUGGCUGGGACUGUGCCAGGAGAGUCUGGCAGGCAGGCAGAGAGAUAAGCGCAUUACCAAGCCCCAGGGAAAAUCAGAGCCAACCAGGGGAAAGGCAAACAACCAUCCGGAUCAGAAAGAUAACCAGGCACCUGUUAUAGCAGCCUCAGUGGCAGGGAAAUCAGGAGAAAGAAGCCCACCUUCUGCCCCCCGGGGAAGAACAGAAGCACCUCUUCUAUCUUGGGUCAUUCACUUAGGUUAUUGCCGUAAUUUCUCACAUCAACCCUAUGAGAGAAUUACCUUAUUAUUAUCCCAUUUCAGAGGUGAGGAAAUUGAGGCUCAGAUAGGUGAAGUGACUUCUUGCCUAAGGCACACAGCUAAUAAGUGGCCAGGCUGGGAUUCCAACCUAGCUCUGACACCUUGACCAUGAUGGUGGAUUCAGAGACAUGGAGGAGAGGCUCCAGGCCCUCAUUCAUCUCCAGGUGCUUUCUCACUCACCAGCUGCUGCCAGAUUUCUGCCAUUUGAGUUUCAAAGAAUCUUAGAAUCUCACAAAGGCCAGCAGCACUCAGAAGAGACAGGACUGUGAACUGGGGCAGGUGCUUUUCGCACUCUGUAGUCAGAUUCCCGGAGGACACCAUGGUGAGACUGAGCCAGAUGAUGCUGGAGGAUCCGUCCAACUGUGGCAUUGCAGGAUCCCCUGAUUCUAAGCACUUGGAUACCCACCUCCGUCAUCCCCCCACCGUAGAGCCAGAUGGCCGGAGGCAGAAGGAGUGGGCGUGGGGAGGGGGCAGGGCUCCUCUGACUCCCCGCAGGGGCCUCGCCUCACUCUAUCCCUGCUUCUGUUUUGAUGUAUUUGACGGUGGCCACGGUUUCCAGGAAAGAAGAGAGAGGCGGAAAAGUUAACUUUCCGCCACCCACACAAAUAUUUUUGGCCGGCGUUGUCUUCACGCUGCCAAGCCAGGAGGGAGGAGUUGGCAGGAGCACUCCAAUUCAAGGUUCCCUCCCAAGGAGGAAGGAGGACUCCCAACCCAGUCGGGGAGCUUGGGCAGGCCCUAUGCAAGCCUGAGCCCCACAGCACCCACCUCUGUGCAGGAGCUGUGGGGGUCGGGACCCGAAACAAUAAUAGCAGCUGCCACUAACUGAGCACCUGCUAGGUGCUGAACCCAGCCCUUUACCUGACACUCCUGCUGUGUCAGUGCAGUCUAUACAGGAGGAAACUGAGGCACGGAGAGAUUCAUGACCCUCAUCUGGACACAAGCUCUAAAAUACUUGAGCCUUGGCAGAAAUGGCUGAUAGAGUCCACAGAACACGCUGUCCUCAUCUCAGAGAGGAGAACUCUGAACCCAGAGGGGAAGGAUUUACCUGCAGUUGUAUGGCAAGCCAGAGCCUAACCAGCCUAAAGAAACCAUGGGAGGAGAGGCUCUUACCCUCUCCUUUGCAGAUGUGGGCCCGGCUGCCUCACACUCCAGAGCAGAUGGGCCACAGGCUUAUAGGUCCCAAGGAAGCUUCACUUCAUGUGGUACCCAGCUGGCCAGCCAGGAAGAUGGAGGGGCUUCUGGCUGGCCUCUCUUCCUCUCCUAGAAAGUCAUGCUGGCCCUUUUGGGUCCAUGGGCCAAAGGUUCAUGAAGGUGGCUCUGCCUGUGAGACAUCAAGCUCCUGGGUUGAAGGACUUGGAUUAAGAAGAGUGACAUCAGUGCACAGUUUAUGCCAAGGGCUUGGGGCCUCAGUCCAGCUUCUUCCUGGACCACCACCAACAACAACCAGUGAUAAAAAUAAUUAUACUAGUGGCUGACAUUUAUGGAUUCUUCCUACACACUAGGCUAUACCACAGCGAGUGCCUCGAAAGGAAAUAUAGUAUAGCACUGUGCCGUCCAACAUGGCGGCCACUAGCCACAUGCACUACUGAGCACUUGAAAUGUGGCUAGCCCACAUUGAGAUGUGCUGUAAAUAAAGAAUAGACACCAGAUUUCCAAGACUUAGUACCAAAAAAAGAAUGUAAAAUUUCUCAUUAACAAGUUUUUUUCUUACAUUUAUUACAUGUUAACAUGACGCUAUUUGGAGUUUAAAUAAAUGCAUUAUUAAAAUUGA